AAAAAGGAGAGAUUUUAAGAGGGAUUUCAUGAUCCUCAAAUAAUUGUUUGACAUUUCUUUCAAGCUCAGAAUGAUGAUUUUUCAGCCAUCUUUAAUUUUGAAGAUUAUAAAGCAUCUCGUGAGAAAUGUUACAAGCAGAUUCAAGCUGCCAUAGCAAAGUUCCGAGAGAUUAAGGAGAACAUCAAUGAGGGACUGAAAUUUUAUGUUACUCUACAGGAUGCAAUCACAAAUGUAAAGUAGCAAUGCAACGAUUUUGUCAUGACCAGAAACAUCCAGUGCCGGGAAAUGACUGAAGAUGUGCAAAGACAAAUGGCGGGCCUCAGUUUCUAGGAUAAUAAAAACGCAGGUGCUUACAACAACUACCCUUCAGCCAUGAGUAUGGCCAACCUGCUUAUCCGGGGUGGCAAGGCCCAUACUACAAUGGCCAUGCACAACAAUCUGGAUCUCAUCCUCGGGCUCCUUACACCAUCCCAGCUCCAUACCCUCCUCCUCACCAAAGUGGCUACUAUAAGCAACAAUAGUGUAGCUGUGUAGCAUCUAUCUAUUUUGGCUAUAUAAUUUGAUUGUUUUUGAUAUGUAAUCUGUCACUUUGUUCCAUCCUUGGUUAAAUGGAUUGGAUUUAGCUAGAUCUUAUUUAUGAUCGUAUAGCCUCUUCAUAAUCUGUAUGCUGGUUUGCCUAAUGCUUUGUAUGUGAAUUGCAUAGCUUGUACAAGGAUUUUUCUAUGUACAACUUUUAAAUUACGUUGAGAUUUACCGAAAUGAUACUAAUUUGAUAAAUAAAAAUCAUCUAUUUCACCUUUUGUGUUCCA